rnacentral:lncRNA from 1 species
ACAUGAAGAGUGAGAACAUUGUUAUCACCAUACCAUGUUAUCUUUUAUGUAUUCUCUUAUAUUAUACAUAUAUAUGGUAUUUUUAUAUUAAAAUUCAAUAAAUACUUAUAAAACUAGCACUUUAUUGGUUCAAACUCUAGUUGGAUUGACAAAUAUGCAAGUGUGUAACCACUAGACCACUUAGAUUAACAUAUUAACUCAUAUAUUUUGUAUAUGUAUAUUUGAUUCAUUUAUUAAAUGGGUACCCGAAACCGAAACGAAACCGACCAAAACCGAACCGAAACCGAACCGAAAUCUCAUAAGUACCUAUUGGGUAUAAGAAUGAUUUAUCUGAUAUACCCGGAACCGAAUGGUUCCUACCCGAAACCGAACCGAAUACCCGAAUGCCCAGAGCUACCUCCGAGAAAAGCCUAUGUAACAUCUCCCAUUUUUGGCUAUCAUCUCCAUUAAUCCAAGCUUUAAUGUCGUUCCACCACUCCUCCCACUCUCUCGCAUUUAAACUUCCUCAUCAUCCUCAGACGUAACCGUUCGGAGCUCCUUCUAUAAAUGGGUUCCUUGCAAGCGAUGAACAUCCUCACUACUAUGAAAUCCAAAAAGUCAAACUAUGUCAAGCAUCAACUUCUACCACGGCGAAUUUGGACACUCAUCUUGCCGAUUAGAAU